GUCGACCGGCUCGGUCCGCGGGCGUGGUUGGCUCUGGCCCCGGCGGCGGCGGCAGGGCCUCCCGGAGCCCCGGCCCCUCCCGCCGGCCAGGCCCCCGGGCCGCCGCCCCGGACACCGAGGGAACGCGGAGGAGGAAGGGGGAGCCAGGGGACUGACCGGCGACAUGAGCCACCUCAGCCCAGGCUCGGCCGACCCGCGCCCCCCGCUCCCUCUGGGGCCGGCUGGGCUCCCCGCCCCUCACUCACCCCCCCGGUCCGGCGCCUCCUCCACCUCCUCCUCCACCUCCUCCCUCUUCUCGGCCGUGGCUCCUGCUCCGGCUCUGCGCGGCGACGGCGGCAGCGGCGGCAGCGGCGGCAGCGGCCUCGAGAGCGGCGGCGGCGGCGGCGGCGGCGGCGGCGCCUCCAGAACGCGCACGCACGCAGCACGUUGGCCCCGCCCCCAGUUCCACCCCGCCCCUCCGAGUCGCCGUCAGCUAGACUUUGGCCCCGCCUUCCCCACGGCUUUCCGGAGUCCGCUUAAAGGAGCCGCGCAGAGGAGAGUGCACAGGUUGCUCGGGCGGUAAAAGAAGGCAGGUGCAUGUCCUGAAAUGCAUGAAGUACAUCCUAGUGGAGAGUGCACACACAGAAGGAAGCAGCUACUCAGCCAUGCGGCACUGUAACUCCUAGGAAGAAUCAAAGAUUUCUGCAGCAAGGAAAUUGGAUACAGAUGAGCACCAGGGAGGACACUGCUGGCCACUGAAGGGAAAGCCCAAUGUAGGCAGGAGGCCAGAAUGCGCCAACGAAGGAAGACUGAACACCAGAACACAGAAAGUUCAGAACACUGAACACAGAAAGACUAAAGCCUGGGCUUUCAGGGGAUACAAUGACACAUAAAGCACAGACAGUGAGACCUGAGAGGAAGAAGAUAAAAGGAAGGCUGUGGAACCAGUGUGUUAAGAAAUCUCAUAGCUGACAAUUUGCUAGCAAAGAACAGGAUGCCUACAAAAUUCGUUAAGUGUCAGAUUUCACAGCUUCCUCUGCUCUGCCUAAAAAGGAAAACUCACAUCUUCAAGCUGUUACAAUAAAACUAUUGGCAGUAUGUAAAGUGAGAACAGAGCCUUGCCUUAAUUUAUUGCACCAUGUAGAUUUAUUACACAUCAGGGUAAUAAUAACAACACCAUGACUCGCCGCCUGAUAAUCUCCUGUGCUCCAGUAGGAGUGCGGGGGAGGGAGCCCGCGGGCCCUGUAGACUCCCUGUAUGGUGCUAAGCGAUCUGGGCACGCUCCUGGCCCAGUGCCACCAGAUGAUGUGGUACUACUGGACCGCGUGGCGUCAAGAUGUGUUGCAGAGCUGGUGAGGAGAUGUAGCCUUUAGACAGAAAACACUGGAGACCAUUGGCCAAGCCUAUAAGUAGAGUGUGUCCCCAGUUGCUCACUGCCAGGGGAGUAGGUAGGCAUCCCAGCUACCUUCUUAUCAGAGGCUCCUCUACCUGAAACCUGAUGAGAUCACAGGUUAAGAACCUCCACGGGGCAUUUCACCUGCCUUUAGAGGGCACCACACUUAGAAUCUGGGACCUUCCAAGUUAAAUGUAUGUUCAGUGUCUGAGGAACAAGUUGACCAAAUUCAGGGUUAAAGACAAUCACGCCUCAGGCCACGGGUCUCUCCUUCAGAGUGCUGGCCUCGCUUCUGGGCUGCUUCUCUUGUCUUUUCAUGACAUCUGAGUCCUGGGGGUGCCCAAUCCGUCUUGGCUGCUUCCAGGGAAACUGCUCCCAGGCACUCAGACACUCAGCCUGCCCACGGUGACAGUGACAUCCUCACAGAGGACAGAGUUCAUCAGAGGUGCCCCCCUGCUGCUGUGCUUGCUCUGGAAGCCUCUCAUUAGGGUUUCUAAUUUUUAAGAUAAUGGGAACUUAAUGGGGAUUAUUUUGAUUUUCUCUCGCCAGCCAAUGUUUUAGCCCUGCUGCCCCCAGCUGCACUGCCUGAACAAAUUGCAUUCUGAGCAAGCAAAAGCUGUGGCCCAGGAGACUGCUGACAUGACCUCAGAAACACACAGUCCAAUCCUAGUGCCUGAUU